AGAUCACCUGCAUGGUGGAACACGCCAGCUUCCCCUCUCCUAAGAAAGUGGACUGGAAUCCCUCCAUGCCACAAUCAGACAGAAACAAGAUCGCCGUCGGAGCGUCAGGUCUGCUUCUGGGUUUGAUUUUGUCUUUGGCAGGUCUGAUCUACUACAAGAGGAAGGCCCGAGGGCGUGUUCUGGUUCCAACCAGCUGAAGGAGGAAGUGAAUCUUCUUCCUCGUUGGUUUUUCUGGUGGAAGUUCAGACUGAGUUGCUUCCACCUGAAGGUUUUCUCCCAGAUUGUCAGUGCUGCCCCCUGCUGGAUGUCAUCACCCCCUGCUCGUAUUCUUACUAAUGCUCUACAGAUUCUGAUGUGACCGAAUGCUUCACCCGUAACACAACUUUGUAUUAAAACCAACCAACAACAUUCCCCUGACCAAUAAUACAGGGAAAUCACUUUAAUGCUCCUGCUGAAAUCACCAGUCGUCUGUUGCUCUGUCUCCUGUACAAUCUGUUCUUUCUAAAAUAA